GUGAAAAGUGGUAACAUCAACAGCACGUUAUAAAUACCAAUCCUUUUCAUCUGCAUGAGGGUCAUGGUGGAUGGAGAGCUGACCUUGGAACUAGGAAAAACCUGAAUGUGUGACCCAGGCUAGUCAUUUCCUCUUCAGCAUAAAUUCAGCCAGCUACUGACUCCUCAAGACUGUCAGUCACUCUCAAAAGACUACAAUUUGCAGAGCCUCUCCAUCAGCCAUUUGUGCACCUCAUCUUCAUCUUCUAUCUGCUUCUCUUCCUGACUAAUGUCUCCUGUUGGGUAGGAUUUGGUUGAAGAAUCCACUUGAAGGGAAGAGAUCAGAGAAGGAUGUCCGAGAGAAGGCAGCUGACUUGUCCGAGGUCACACCGCGGUAAAGGCAGGACUAGAACCCAAGAUUUCUGAUUUCCAGGCCUGUGCUUUUCACACCGGCUCAUCUGCCCAAGAAUCGCGAGAGGCUCCCGCACCUGGAGUUUUAUGUAGCAUCAGAUCUGUGAGUAGGGCCAUCGUGUUGGGAUGGUGUAUCAUCAGGAGAAUGGGUGACGCGGUGGAAAAUAGAGGGAAACUGUAUAAGUAAUAAAUUUGGGAUCAGAGUUUGAUGAUUAAUAAGUGAGUUUUUAACCUUAGAAGUGUGAAGGCC